AGGGGUAUGGUUAGGUUAGGUGUAGGGUUAGGUUAGGGUUAGGGUUGGUUUAGGAGUAGAGUUAGGGGUAGGUUUAUGGUUGGGUUAGGGUAGGGUUAGGGUUAGGGGUAUGGUUAGGUUAGGAAUAGGCUUAGGGUUACACUACCCCUACCCUACCCCUAACGCUACCCCUAACCCUACUCCAACCACUAACCCUAAACCUACCCCAACCCCUAACCCUACCCCAACCACUAACCCUACCCCAACCACUAACCCUACCCCUAACCCUACCUCUACCCUAACCACUAACCCUUCCCCAACCCCUAACCCUUCCCCUAAUACCAACCUCUCCUGUUUUGCCACUUUUCAGCAA